rnacentral:rRNA from 1 species
AUUGGACGCUGGCGGCAUGCCUUACACAUGCAAGUCGAACGGUAACGGGCCUUCGGGUGCCGACGAGUGGCGAACGGGUGAGUAAUACAUCGGAACGUGCCCGAUCGUGGGGGAUAACGAGGCGAAAGCUUUGCUAAUACCGCAUACGAUCUACGGAUGAAAGCAGGGGACCGCAAGGCCUUGCGCGGACGGAGCGGCCGAUGGCAGAUUAGGUAGUUGGUGGGAUAAAAGCUUACCAAGCCGACGAUCUGUAGCUGGUCUGAGAGGAUGAUCAGCCACACUGGGACUGAGACACGGCCCAGACUCCUACGGGAGGCAGCAGUGGGGAAUUUUGGACAAUGGGCGCAAGCCUGAUCCAGCCAUGCCGCGUGCAGGAUGAAGGCCUUCGGGUUGCAAACUGCUUUUGUACGGAACGAAAAGCCUUCUUUUAAUACAGGAGGGUCAUGACGGUACCGUAAGAAUAAGCACCGGCUAACUACGUG